UGGGGAAUAUUGCACAAUGGGCGAAAGCCUGAUGCAGCAAUGCCGCGUGUGUGAAGAAGGCCUUCGGGUUGUAAAGCACUUUCAGACGUGAGGAAAAGUUAACUAUUAAUACUAGUUAACCCUGACGUUAACGUCAGAAGAAGCACCGGCUAACUCC
rnacentral:rRNA from 1 species